ensembl:ncRNA T06F4.18 ncRNA
GAGGAAGAAGCUCGUUUUGAAUUCUUAUGACAUCGCGGUUGUAUCAUUAUGAUUGGGCGCAUACACA